CGGGGGGAGCAAGCGUUGUUCGGAUUUACUGGGCGUAAAGGGCGCGUAGGCGGCCAGCACAAGUCAGUUGUGAAAUCUCCGAGCUUAACUCGGAAAGGUCAACUGAUACUGUGCGGCUAGAGUGCGGAAGGGGCAACUGGAAUUCUUGGUGUAGCGGUGAAAUGCGUAGAUAUCAAGAGGAACACCUGCGGCGAAGGCGGGUUGCAGGGCCGACACUGACGCUGAUGCGCGAAAGCCAGGGGAGCGAACGGGAUUAGAUACCCCGGUAGUCCUGGCCUUAAACGAUGAAUGCUUGGUGUCUGGGGUUAUAAAGUCCCCGGGUGCCGUCGCUAACGCUUUAAGCAUUCCGCCUGGGGAGUACGGUCGCAAGACUG
rnacentral:rRNA from 1 species